UAAAAACCCCGACUUCGGAAGGGGUGUAUUUAUUAGAUACAAAACCAAUGCCCUUCGGGGCUCUUUGGUGAUUCAUGAUAACUAUACGAAUCGCACGGCCUUGCGCCGGCGAUGGUUCAUUCAAAUUUCUUCCCUAUCAACUUUCGAUGUUUGGGUAUUGGCCAAACAUGGUUGCAACGGGUAACGGAGGGUUAGGGCUCGACCCCGGAGAAGGAGCCUGAGAAACGGCUACUACAUCCAAGGAAGGCAGCAGGCGCGCAAAUUACCCAAUCCCGACUCGGGGAGGUAGUGACAAUAAAUACUGAUACAGGGCCCUUACGGGCCUUGUAAUUGGAAUGAGUACAAUUUAAAUCCCUUAACGAGGAACAAUUGGAGGGCAAGUCUGGUGCCAGCAGCCGCGGUAAUUCCAGCUCCAAUAGCGUAUAUUAAAGUUGUUGUGGUUAAAAAGCUCGUAGUUGAACCUUGGGCCUGGCUGGCCGGUCCGCCUCACCGCGUGCACUGGUCCGGCCGGGCCUUUCCCUCUGUGGAACCCCAUACCCUUCACUGGGCGUGGCGGGGAAACAGGACGUUUACUUU
rnacentral:rRNA from 1 species